AUGGAUGGAUUUCCAUGAUUGUUUUAGUGAAAGCUGAAGAACAGUUCAAAGAAUCUUUUAAAACAAAAAUCAACCCGAUCUGACCACCAGAAGUGGAGUUAUGACCCAAGUUACCUCAGACUGUCUUUUUUCUUGGACAUGAUUUACAAAAACCUGGAUAAAAAAGGUUCUAAUGGAUGGAUUUCCAUGAUUGUUUUAGUGAAAGCUGAAGAACAGUUCAAAGAAUCUUUUAAAACAAAAAUCAACCCGAUCUGACCACCAGAAGUGGAGUUAUGACCCAAGUUACCUCAGACUGUCUUUUUUCUUGGACAUGAUUUACAAAAACCUGGAUAAAAAAGGUUCUAAUGGAUGGAUUUCCAUGAUUGUUUUAGUGAAAGCUGAAGAACACUUCAGAGAAUCUUUUAAAACAAAAAUCAACCCGAUCUGACCACCAGAAGUGGAGUUAUGACCAAAGUUACCUCAGACUGUCUUUUUUCUUGGACAUGAUUUACAAAAACCUGGAUAAAAAAGGUUCUAAUGUAUGGAUUUCCAUGAUUGUUUUAGUGAAAGCUGAAGAACACUUCAGAGAAUCUUUUAAAACAAAAAUCAACCCGAUCUGACCACCAGAAGUGGAGUUAUGACCAAAGUUACCUCAGACUGUCUUUUUUCUUGGACAUGAUUUACAAAAACCUGGAUAAAAAAGGUUCUAAUGGAUGGAUUUCCAUGAUUGUUUUAGUGAAAGCUGAAGAAGACUUCAAAGAAUCUUUUAAAACAAAAAUCAACCCGAUCUGACCACCAGAAGUGAAGUUAUGACCCCAGUU